UGCUGACGGCUUUUGCAACCAUUGCUGAUCCGAAGCGCUAACUGAAUGCAGCACUGCACUGCUGCGGAAGUCGUCCAUAACUUCGAGUGGGCGGGGGCUCUACCUGAGUAAAGCUAUCGCUGGGACCUGCAUCACUGGUUCGACUGGAUCCGAUUGAGGGCAGUCCACAUCCGGAUUGUGGAUCUGAGGAUUACGCAGCACAGUCGCACCGGGAUUUUCACCGGGCGUGUGAGACCCGACCGAGGUGCAUCCUGCCUGGAAUAUAUGAAUCGGUAUAUCCCUCGAUUAUAUUCCGCCUCGAUUAUGUGCGGGUGCGUCUUGCAACAGCGGUGUAGGAUGGGGAGCCUCAUAGGCGGAGGGGUAAUCCUGCAACCCAGCCGCAUUAGGCACUGAGCACCACACAUCGAAAAGCAUGUGAGUAACCCGAGCCAGCUCGAUAGGAGGUAAGACCCUUAUUGAGCCUGACCACGCCAACCAUGUCUAUUGGUCGCGUCUUGCCCAUCGCCAAGGAGCCGAUCACAUCAUUGCUGCCUUUCAGCCGGGUGAUGAGGGUUGUGGAGGCCAGCCACACACAUGGCAUUGAGUGCUUGACCACAGCCCAGGGCGAGGAGUACGGCAACGCCAGGCAGUACAGGCUGUAUUACGAGUGAUGUGUCCUAUGGUUCGGUUCCAUCCGUCCGUUCGUCGGUGUUGUCCAUAUGGCCGGCAGAGCAGGUGGGGUAGGAGAAGGUGUGGGAGGGUAAUUAGGGCAGACAAAAGAGACGCUGAACUCAGGCAUGCAGCACGUCCAGAAGGGCUUGAAAGGAAGGGUGCGGCAGUGCAACCACCACUUGUGUCCAGAUGCCCUUAAACCGCGAAUGACGAUGGGAGUUAAGAAGAACUCGGGGUGAGGUAUCAGUGAACCCUGAGACGAGAACCCGCGGUGGCAGCAUCGCCCCACAUCCGACAUAUGCCCUCACCCGUGCCGUCAGGACCCAUGUCCUCAGCGAUGUCCUGGUGAAGAGCUUGCUUGGCACGGGCGAGUGCCCGUGAGCCCCAGCCACCCCCAGCAUUCCCGAGCAAAAGUGAGUUUGCCCCUCCAUUUUCAUUAAUUCACCUAAUCGGAGGUGGUAUCUGAUCUCACCUCCUCUCCGCCGAACCUUCCGGGCCUUUCACUUUGCCUGCCGCACUGAGUGCUCGCUGCUGCUGUUUGAGAAGAACAAAGAGCCAUACAUACGCUGCUUAGGAACAUACGCUGCUUAGGAGCCAGACUCGGCCAAGAUUAGGGCCCCACACAGCAACCCCAGGUGCCUUACAAGUCCAGACCGUGGACUAACUAAGAACCCCAGUAGCCAAGUUCCCUAGUAACCUAACCAAGCCUUCGCCAGGUUCAACCUCUCCUCC
rnacentral:lncRNA from 1 species